AGGAGAGAUGGAAUAGGGCUGGACCACCCAACUGUGGCGUUGUUUGAGGAUCAUCUAAGGUAACCUGGGGCAUGGCCGGUGCACAGAAGGUUCCUGAUUUCAUAGCUGUGUGUUUUUGUCAACCUGCCUGCCUUCAAGAAGAUGCCAAAUGAACCCGGAUCACUUUUCUCACACACUGGAUGCAGCCCUGCUGUGAAGAAGGGCCCUGGGAAGCUGGUGGGCUAAGGAAAGGCAAAAUCGUGGAUUCUUUCUAAA